CCUACGGGCGGCAGCAGUGGGGAAUAUUGGACAAUGGGGGGAACCCUGAUCCAGCCAUGCCGCGUGUGUGAAGAAGGCCCUCGGGUUGUAAAGCACUUUCAGUGAGGAAGAACGCCUGGUGGUUAAUACCCAUCAGGUAAGACAUCACUCACAGAAGAAGCACCGGCUAACUCCGUGCCAGCAGCCGCGGUAAUACGGAGGGUGCGAGCGUAAUCGGAAUUACUGGGCGUAAAGCGCGCGUAGGUGGCUUGAUAAGCCGGUUGUGAAAGCCCCGGGCUCAACCUGGGAACGGCAUCCGGAACUGUCAAGCUAGAGUGCAGGAGAGGAAGGUAGAAUUCCCGGUGUAGCGGUGAAAUGCGGAGAGAUCGGGAGGAAUACCAGUGGCGAAGGCGGCCUUCUGGACUGACACUGACUCUGAGGUGCGAAAGCGUGGGUAGCAAACAGGAUUAGAUACCCGUGUAGUC
rnacentral:rRNA from 1 species